UGCAAGACGAACGGUAAGCUUUGUAGCAAUACGGAGCCUAGAGUGUCGUACGGGUGCGUAACACGUAUGCAACCUACCUUUUACAGGAGUACAGCUCGGUGAAAACCGAAUUAACCCUCCAUAACACAGCGCUGAGGCAUCUCAAAGCUGUUAAAACUGCGGUGGUAAAAGAUGGGCAUGCGUUUGAUUAGUUAGUUGGCAGUGUAACGGACUACCAAGACGAUGAUCAAUAGGGGACCUGAGAGGGUGAUCCCCCACACUGGCACUGAGAUACGGGCCAGACUCCUACGGGAGGCAGCAGUAGGGAAUAUUGGACAAUGGGUGAGAGCCUGAUCCAGCCAUGCCGCGUGCAGGAAGAAGGCGUUAUGCGUUGUAAACUGCUUUAGCCAGGGGAUAAAACGGCUCUGCGGAGCUAAUUGAAGGUACCUGGAUAAUAAGCCACGGCUAACUACGUGCCAGCAGCCGCGGUAAUACGUAGGUGGCAAGCGUUGUCCGGAUUUAUUGGGUUUAAAGGGUGCGUAGGCGGCCCUGUAAGUCAGUGCUGAAAUAUCCCGGCUUAACCGGGAGGGUGGCAUUGAUACUGCAGGGCUUGAGUACAGAUGAAGUAGGCGGAAUUGACGGUGUAGCGGUGAAAUGCAUAGAUAUCGUCAAGAACACCGAUAGCGAAGGCAGCUUACUAAGCUGUAACUGACGCUGAGGCACGAAAGUGUGGGGAUCAAACAGGAUUAGAUACCCUGGUAGUCCACACUGUAAACGUUGAUGACUCGAUGUUGGCGAUACACAGCCAGCGUCCAAGAGCAAUCGUUAAGUCAUCCACCUGGGGAGUACGCCGGCAACGGUGAAACUCAAAGGAAUUGACGGGGGUCCGCACA
rnacentral:rRNA from 1 species